UACGUAGGGUGCUAGCGUUGUCCGGAAUUAUUGGGCGUAAAGAGCUCGUAGGUGGCUUGUCACGUCGGGUGUGAAAGCUUGGGGCUUAACUCCAGGUCUGCAUUCGAUACGGGCUGGCUAGAGGUAGGUAGGGGAGAACGGAAUUCCUGGUGUAGCGGCGAAAUGCGCAGAUAUCAGGAGGAACACCGGUGGCGAAGGCGGGUCUCUGGGCCGAUAUUGACGCUGAGGAGCGAAAGCGUGGGGAGCGAACAGG
rnacentral:rRNA from 1 species